GAUGAACGCUGGCGGCGUGCCUAACACAUGCAAGUCGAACGGAGAUUACGGACGGAAGUUUUCGGAUGGAAGACUGUAAUUCUUAGUGGCGGACGGGUGAGUAACGCGUGGGCAACCUGCCCUAUACAGGGGGAUAGCAGCUGGAAACGGCUGGUAAGACCGCAUAAGUCGGCGAGACCGCAUGGUUUUGCCGGGAAAUGAGCAAUCAGGUAUAGGAUGGGCCCGCGUCCGAUUAGCCAGUUGGCAGGGUAAAAGCCUACCAAAGCAACGAUCGGUAGCCGGACUGAGAGGUCGGACGGCCACAUUGGGACUGAGACACGGCCCAAACUCCUACGGGAGGCAGCAGUGGGGGAUAUUGCACAAUGGAGGAAACUCUGAUGCAGCGACGCCGCGUGAGUGAAGAAGUAUUUCGGUAUGUAAAGCUCUAUCAGCAGGGAAGAUGAUGACGGUACCGGACUAAGAAGCCCCGGCUAACUACGG
rnacentral:rRNA from 1 species